rnacentral:rRNA from 1 species
CCCUACGGGGCGCAGCAGGAAAAAAGAAAAAAAGGUGCUUGACAGAGAAAGAGAGAGUGUGUAGAAAGGCACCUUCGCUUCGGGAAAAAGGAGACGCGGUCGGGGACGGAAAAAAAGUUCUUGACGGAAGGAAGUGGAAGGGUUAGAAAGGCUGUCUCCUACAGGGGCUUUGAAAGAAGCUCUUGACGAAGGAGGGGGAGUGUGGUAAUUUAACAAUCCCUUGAGCAAGGCAGGUCUGUUCUUUGGAAACUAAAUAGUGAGUAGCGUGUCGGGCCAAAACAGUUUUUUGGAAUAACUGGAGAGUUUGAUCC